AUUGGAAGGGGUGUAUUUAUUAGAUAAAAAACCAAUGCCCUUCGGGGCUCCUUGGUGAUUCAUAAUAACUUAACGAAUCGCAUGGCCUUGCGCCGGCGAUGGUUCAUUCAAAUUUCUGCCCUAUCAACUUUCGAUGGUAAGGUAUUGGCUUACCAUGGUUUCAACGGGUAACGGGGAAUUAGGGUUCGAUUCCGGAGAGGGAGCCUGAGAAACGGCUACCACAUCCAAGGAAGGCAGCAGGCGCGCAAAUUACCCAAUCCCGACACGGGGAGGUAGUGACAAUAAAUACUGAUACAGGGCUCUUUUGGGUCUUGUAAUUGGAAUGAGUACAAUUUAAACCUCUUAACGAGGAACAAUUGGAGGGCAAGUCUGGUGCCAGCAGCCGCGGUAAUUCCAGCUCCAAUAGCGUAUAUUAAAGUUGUUGCAGUUAAAAAGCUCGUAGUUGAACCUUGGGCCUGGCUGGCAGGUCCGCCUCACCGCGUGUACUUGACCGGCCGGGCCUUUCCUUCUGGAGAACCUCAUGCCCUUCACUGGGUGUGCUGGGGAACCAGGACUUUUAC
rnacentral:rRNA from 1 species